rnacentral:tRNA from 1 species
GGGGAUUUGGCUCAGUGGUAGAGCACUUGCCUAGCAAGUGCAAGGCCCUGGGUUCAGUCCCCA